rnacentral:rRNA from 1 species
AGAGUUUGAUCCUGGCUCAGGACGAACGCUGGCGGCGUGCCUAACACAUGCAAGUCGAACGGAACUGUUUUGAAAGAUUUCUUCGGAAUGAAUUUGAUUUAGUUUAGUGGCGGACGGGUGAGUAACGCGUGAGUAACCUGCCUUCAAGAGGGGGAUAACAUUCUGAAAAGAAUGCUAAUACCGCAUGACAUAUCGGAACCACAUGGUUCUGAUAUCAAAGAUUUUAUCGCUUGAAGAUGGACUCGCGUCCGAUUAGUUAGUUGGUGAGGUAACGGCUCACCAAGACCGCGAUCGGUAGCCGGACUGAGAGGUUGAACGGCCACAUUGGGACUGAGACACGGCCCAGACUCCUACGGGAGGCAGCAGUGGGGGAUAUUGCGCAAUGGGGGCAACCCUGACGCAGCAACGCCGCGUGAAGGAUGAAGGUUUUCGGAUUGUAAACUUCUUUUAUUAAGGACGAAAAUUGACGGUACUUAAUGAAUAAGCUCCGGCUAACUACGUGCCAGCAGCCGCGGUAAUACGUAGGGAGCAAGCGUUGUCCGGAUUUACUGGGUGUAAAGGGUGCGUAGGCGGCUUUGCAAGUCAGAUGUGAAAUCUAUGGGCUCAACCCAUAAACUGCAUUUGAAACUGUAGAGCUUGAGUGAAGUAGAGGCAGGCGGAAUUCCCCGUGUAGCGGUGAAAUGCGUAGAGAUGGGGAGGAACACCAGUGGCGAAGGCGGCCUGCUGGGCUUUAACUGACGCUGAGGCACGAAAGCGUGGGUAGCAAACAGGAUUAGAUACCCUGGUAGUCCACGCUGUAAACGAUGGGUGCUGGGUGCUGGGAUGUAUGUCUCGGUGCCGUAGCUAACGCGAUAAGCACCCCGCCUGGGGAGUACGGUCGCAAGGCUGAAACUCAAAGAAAUUGACGGGGGCCCGCACAAGCGGUGGAGUAUGUGGUUUAAUUCGAUGCAACGCGAAGAACCUUACCUGGGCUUGACAUGUAAUGAACAACAUGUGAAAGCAUGCGACUCUUCGGAGGCGUUACACAGGUGCUGCAUGGCCGUCGUCAGCUCGUGUCGUGAGAUGUUUGGUUAAGUCCAGCAACGAGCGCAACCCCUGUUGCCAGUUACCAUCGAGUAAUGUCGGGGACUCUGGCGAGACUGCCCAGAUCAACUGGGAGGAAGGUGGGGACGACGUCAGGUCAGUAUGGCCCUUAUGCCCAGGGCUGCACACGUACUACAAUGCCCAGUACAGAGGGGGCCGAAGCCGCGAGGCGGAGGAAAUCCUGAAAACUGGGCCCAGUUCGGACUGUAGGCUGCAACCCGCCUACACGAAGCCGGAAUCGCUAGUAAUGGCGCAUCAGCUACGGCGCCGUGAAUACGUUCCCGGGUCUUGUACACACCGCCCGUCACAUCAUGGAAGCCGGUCGCACCCGAAGUAUCUGAAGCCAACCGCAAGGAGGCAGGGUCCUAAGGUGAGACUGGUAACUGGGAUGAAGUCGUAACAAGGUAGCCGUAGGGGAACCUGCGGCUG